rnacentral:rRNA from 1 species
AUUGAACGCUGGCGGAAGGCUUAACACAUGCAAGUCGAGCGGGGUGAUGGUGCUUGCACUAUCACUUAGCGGCGGACGGGUGAGUAAUGCUUAGGAAUCUGCCUAUUAGUGGGGGACAACAUCUCGAAAGGGAUGCUAAUACCGCAUACGUCCUACGGGAGAAAGCAGGGGAUCACUUGUGACCUUGCGCUAAUAGAUGAGCCUAAGUCGGAUUAGCUAGUUGGUGGGGUAAAGGCCUACCAAGGCGACGAUCUGUAGCGGGUCUGAGAGGAUGAGCCGCCACACUGGGAGUGGGACACGGCCCAGACUCCUACGGGAGGCAGCAGUGGGGAAUAUUGGACAAUGGGGGGAACCCUGAUCCAGCCAUGCCGCGUGUGUGAAGAAGGCCUUAUGGUUGUAAAGCACUUUAAGCGAGGAGGAGGCUCUCUUGGUUAAUACCCAAGAUGAGUGGACGUUACUCGCAGAAUAAGCACCGGCUAACUCUGUGCCAGCAGCCGCAGUAA